CCCUUAGAUGUCCUGGGCCGCACGCGCGUUACACUGAUGCAUUCAACGAGCUUAUAACCUUGGCCGAGAGGCCUGGGCAAUCUUGUUAACGUGCAUCGUGAUAGGGAUAGAUUAUUGAAGUUAUUAAUCUUGAACGAGGAAUUCCUAGUAAACGCAGAUCAUCAAUCUGCAUUGAUUACGUCCCUGCCCUUUGUACACACCGCCCGUCGCACCUACCGAUUGGAUGGUCCGGUGAAGCCUCGGGAUUGUGGUUCUUGCCGCUUUAUUGUGGCGUGACCGCGAGAACUUGUCUAAACCUUAUCAUCUAGAGGAAGGUGAAGUCGUAACA
rnacentral:rRNA from 1 species